GAAAUUAAUAGUAGUUUAUAGAUAGAUUAUAGAUUCUUUCAUUUUAGGUCUUUAAUUAAUAAUGUAUAUAUUUAUAUAAAACUAAGCUGGAAUACUAUUAAUAGCACCUAGCUAUUAGUGCUAGGUCUUCGGUCCUUGGAUAAAAAAUUAUACAGUUAGGAUGAUGUGGACUCCUUUUGAGUUGAGUGAGUUAUUGGUUGAAUAAUAUAAUCUAACAGGUGAAAGUAGUCAAAGAGUUAAAUCUAACGGCGGAAAACUCGAUAGCACCAAACGCUUGGUGCUAUUGAUAGUAUUCCAGCUGGACUCUCUCUCUCUCUAUCUUUCUCUCUCUCUAUAUAUUUAUUUACUUCCAACAUUUUUUUAAUAAAUUAUGAUCUUUUACUUAUCAAAUUAUAUAAAUUAGUGUUUUAAAAAAUAAAAAGAACGACAAAGAUACCGUAUAUAGAGAAUCUAAACUAAUUAGCAUAAAUAACAUAAAAAAGGAAAAAAUGGUUUUUAAUUAUACUAAAAAGUUAAAGUUGAUGCUGCCUAAGUUGUGCUGCUCAUAUCGUUAAUACGUCAUCAUCAGUGUGGGAAGGUUUUUAAUUACUCGGUACACGACUACACGUACACGUUGUAGAAACACCAUAUAAAAUUGUUCCUAUCCUAGACAUUUCCAACUUUAAAACGGUCCAUUUGUAGGUAUAGUUGUGGGCGUUGUACAUCUUCACCUAUAAUCUUUGAAGAAGUUAAUAGAAAGAGCAAAGCAUAUGCAAGUACGCAGGGAUGAAGCUAGCACUCGAUUAUGAGGGGACCAAAGUACAUAAAAUCAAAAUUUUAGCAAAUAAAUAAAAUUUAUUGUUGGAAUAAUAAUCCAAACUUAAUUAAAAUAUAAUUAGAGAUAUUUUAAAUUUUUUAUUUGAUUAUAAUUAGGUUAUGUAAUUAUCCAAAGUAAAAUUAGGUUUAUCAUCUGUUAGGAUUUGAUAGUUAUGGUGAGGACUGAGAAUUCGGCUGUAUAGCUAAACUCUUUGUUGACGAUAUUUUCUGUAUAAUUUAAUUACAUAA
rnacentral:lncRNA from 1 species